rnacentral:rRNA from 1 species
AACGAACGCUGGCGGCAUGCCUAACACAUGCAAGUCGAACGAAGUCUUCGGACUUAGUGGCGCACGGGUGCGUAACGCGUGGGAAUCUGCCCUUGGGUGCGGAAUAACUUCUCGAAAGGGAUGCUAAUACCGCAUAAUGUCGUAAGACCAAAGAUUUAUCGCCCAAGGAUGAGCCCGCGUAAGAUUAGCUAGUUGGUGGGGUAAAAGCCUACCAAGGCGACGAUCUUUAGCUGGUCUGAGAGGAUGAUCAGCCACACUGGGACUGAGACACGGCCCAGACUCCUACGGGAGGCAGCAGUGGGGAAUAUUGGACAAUGGCGAAAGCCUGAUCCAGCAAUGCCGCGUGAGUGAUGAAGGCCCUAGGGUUGUAAAGCUCUUUUACCAGGGAUGAUAAUGACAGUACCUGGAGAAUAAGCUCCGGCUAACUCCGUGCCAGCAGCCGCGGUAAU